AGUGAACGCUGGCGGCGUGCUUAACACAUGCAAGUCGAACGAGAACGGAUUAUAGCUUGCUAUAAUUGUCAGCUAAGUGGCGCACGGGUGAGUAAUGUAUAGGUAAUAUGCCUCUUACUAAGGGACAACAAAUGGAAACGUUUGCUAAUACCUUAUACUCCUUAUUAACAGAAGUUAAUAAGGGAAAGAUUUAUUGGUAAGAGAUUAGCCUGUAUUGUAUCAGUUAGUUGGUGGGGUAAUGGCUUACCAAGACUAUGACACAUAACUGGUUUGAGGGGAUGAUCAGUCACACUGGAACUGAGACACGGUCCAGACUCCUACGGGAGGCAGCAGUGGGGAAUAUUGCACAAUGGACGAAGGUCUGAUGCAGCAACGCCGCGUGUAUGAUGACACAUUUCGGUGCGUAAACUCCUUUUAUAUGAGAAGAUAAUGACGGUAUUAUAUGAAUAAGCACCGGCUAACUCCGUGCCAGCCGCCGCAGUAA
rnacentral:rRNA from 1 species